rnacentral:rRNA from 1 species
AUUCCAGCUCCAAUAGCGUAUAUUAAAGUUGUUGCGGUUAAAAAGCUCGUAGUUGGAUUUCUGCCGAGGAUGACCGGUCCGCCCUGUGGGUGUGCAUCUGGCUCAGCCUUGGCAUCUUCCUGAAGAACGUAGCUGCACUUGACUGUGUGGUGCGGUAUUUAGGACAUUUACUUUGAGGAAAUUAGAGUGUUUCAAGCAAGCGCACGCUUUGAAUACAUUAGCAUGGAAUAAUAAGAUAGGACCUCGGUUCUAUUCUGUUGGUUUCUAGGACUAAGAUAAUGAUUAAUAGGGACAAUUGGGGGCAUUCGUAUCGCGGUGUCAGAGGUGGAAUUCUUGGAUUACUGCGCGACGAACUACUGCGAAAGCAUUUGCCAAGGAUGUUUUCAUUA